AUUGAACGCUGGCGGCAGGCCUAACACAUGCAAGUCGAGCGGAUGAAGGGAGCUUGCUCCUGGAUUCAGCGGCGGACGGGUGAGUAAUGCCUAGGAAUCUGCCUGGUAGUGGGGGAUAACGUCCGGAAACGGGCGCUAAUACCGCAUACGUCCUGAGGGAGAAAGUGGGGGAUCUUCGGACCUCACGCUAUCAGAUGAGCCUAGGUCGGAUUAGCUAGUUGGUGGGGUAAAGGCCUACCAAGGCGACGAUCCGUAACUGGUCUGAGAGGAUGAUCAGUCACACUGGAACUGAGACACGGUCCAGACGCCUACGGGAGGCAGCAGUGGGGAAUAUUAGACAAUGGGCGAAAGCCUGAUACAGCCAUGCCGCGUGUGUGAAGAAGGUCUUCGGAUUGUAAAGCACUUUAAGUUGGGAGGAAGGGCAGUAAGUUAAUACCUUGCUGUUUUGACGUUACCAACAGGAUAAGCACCGGCUAACUUCGUG
rnacentral:rRNA from 1 species